rnacentral:rRNA from 1 species
UACAGAGGUCUCAAGCGUUGUUCGGAUUCAUUGGGCGUAAAGGGUGCGUAGGCGGCGCGGUAAGUCGGACGUGAAAUCCCACGGCUCAACCGUGGAAGUGCAUUCGAAACUGCGAGGCUGGAGUCCUGGAGAGGAAAGUGGAAUACUCGGUGUAGAGGUGAAAUUCGUAGAUAUCGAGUGGAACACCGGUGGCGAAGGCGGCUUUCUGGACAGGUACUGACGCUGAGACGCGAAAGCGUGGGGAGCAAACAGG